UGUCCACAUCACGUUGAAACACCAGUUCCUGUGCGAUCACCGAAGGUAAGCAAUGUCGAGCCUGGUAAGUACCUAGAUGAGUGACCACUUGGGAAUACCAGGUGCU